rnacentral:rRNA from 1 species
GAUGAACGCUGGCGGCGUGCCUAAUACAUGCGAGUCGAGCGAACAGACGAGGAGCUUGCUCCUCUGACGUUAGCGGCGGACGGGUGAGUAACACGUGGAUAACCUACCUAUAAGACUGGGAUAACUUCGGGAAACCGGAGCUAAUACCGGAUAAUAUAUUGAACCGCAUGGUUCAAUAGUGAAAGAUGGUUUUGCUGUCACUUAUAGAUGGAUCCGCGCCGCAUUAGCUAGUUGGUAAGGUAACGGCUUACCAAGGCAACGAUGCGUAGCCGACCUGAGAGGGUGAUCGGCCACACUGGAACUGAGACACGGUCCAGACUCCUACGGGAGGCAGCAGUAGGGAAUCUUCCGCAAUGGGCGAAAGCCUGACGGAGCAACGCCGCGUGAGUGAUGAAGGUCUUCGGAUCGUAAAACUCUGUUAUUAGGGAAGAACAAAUGUGUAAGUAACUAUGCACGUCUUGACGGUACCUAAUCAGAAAGCCACGGCUAACUACGUG